UGCAACAGAAAGCGGAGCGGCUGCAGGGCCACAUCGGACGAGCAGCGGCACGAAGCAGGUGCAGGUCGCGGUUCUGGUCGGAAGGAGCCAGCAGGGGGGCGUAGGAGUGGUGGUGCGGCUGGCGGCGGGAGAAGGGAGACAGGGCGGCCCCGGAGGCGGAGCUCGACCGCGAGCGUGGCACGCAUAGGCUGUGGGUGUUGUGGUGCAGCACGUACGACGCACUGCAAGGGGAUCCGGCGGUGGCGCACAUGGCCAUGGGGGCAGCAUGAGGGGCGCAGUGGGAGAAGAGGGAGAGAUGGGAGAAGAGAAUGGAGGAAUGGGAGGAGGAGAGGGAGAGAGGUGCGGCGAACAGGCGUGGCUCGCCGGCCGCCGGCGACGUCUGUCGAGGCCACCGAAGGUGAGAGAUCAGAAGCACACGACAGCCCUCCCCAUAGCGGCGGCGCGCCUCCUAAGAUCGUGAUGCAAGGCUCAGCAUUUGUCGAGGAGGGCAUCCAGCAGCAGCUAUGCAUGCUCGCCUACAGUAUGGAUGAAUCAGAGCAUGGAGCGGCAACGGUCCUAGCAGGAGCAGGGCAGCCACGACGUCUCCUUACAUCAACUUUCAGAAACGAAGGGAAGAUAGCCUAUAAAGGGAGGACAAAAUAUUUGUGGCCAGGGACGACCAAAAAGCAUCGGGGUGUGCUGGUUCACAAGGUUGGAUACGUGCCAUCUACUUUGAUUCCGGCUAAAAUAUAAAAUUCAUUACUUAAGUGGUUUGAAAGAUUGGUUCUCUAGCAAGCAGGGAAUUUCCCUCACUGUAUGGGGCUGAAAUUGAAUCUAUUAUUGAUGUUUUUGUUACACCAUCAUUAUCCAUUCCAAGUAUGUACUCUUAUUUCCUUUUAUUUGAGUUGUCCUUUUUAAAACUACUGCUCCAAUGGCUCAUAUGGUAGUUCUUGUACCCUAUUCUUCACAUUUUGUCAGGCAGUUGAUUUAUUAGGUUGGUGCACUGCCAUGCUAUGUGUCUUGAUAUUUUUAUGCUUCUGGCAACAUUUGUUUUUCAUUUAAGUCGCAAGUGGUCUGAUCCAUGACAUUUGAUAUCAGGAAACUAUUUCCAUUGUGACAGUACUAAUACAGGUUUUUUGCUCUAU